GAAAAUGAGAAGAAGAAGGCCCUGCCCUGUGUGAAGGGUCAGAUGGAGUUGGUGAGAAUCAAGAGAACUCCAGCUUUCUCCAGUUUCCUUUCAGCCUGGCUUCAGGAUUCUUGGAACAGAGUAGAGUCGGGGCCAGCUGUUGACUUGAACUCUGUUACCCUGAUAUUAAGUCCAGUAACCUGUGGAAAUUCCAGAGUAAAUCCAAUGGACAUGGAAAAACAGCUUAAGCCACAGACGUUCUGGUUUUGUAGCAGAAGCACAAACAGUUAUUUCCAAUUCUUUGUGACUCCUUUUGGGGUUUUCCUGGCAAAGAUAUUGGAAGGAUCUGGCAUUUCCUUCUCCAGGUCAUCUUUUACAGCUGAGGAAAUUAAGCUGCUCAGGAUAGGAGACAAGCUGCUUAUGGAGGUAAAAGCAGAGAAGGAGGAAGGAAAAAGCAAGACAAAGGAACAAAGAGGAAGAGAAGUGAGAGAGACAACAAAGACAAUGAAGUUCAUGAGGAAAGAAAGAGAUAAUGUAGUACCAGGUUGCAGAGUUUAGUGACAGCUUACAUCAUUCUGUUGCCAAGGAAAAUAUUGAACUAGAAUCUAUGGAAGCCAAAAAUUAGACACAAAGUAGAUGCUUGUGAACUGGAGAAUGGCUGAAGAAAUGAUGGCAGAUGAAUGUAAUGAAAUACUGUAGAAACGACAAACAUGAAGAACUCUUUGAAACAUGGAAAGACUAGUAUGAACUAGUUACAGUAAAGAAAGCAGAACCAAGAAAACAGUAUACACAAUUAUUAUGAUAUAAAUAAAAACAAUAAAAGGCAGUUGAACCCCA
rnacentral:lncRNA from 1 species